GUCUGGGUGGCUCAGUCUGUUGAGUGUCUGACUUCAGCUCAGGUCAUGAUCUCAUGGUUCGUGGGUUCAAGCCCCACAUCAGGCU
rnacentral:tRNA from 1 species